rnacentral:rRNA from 1 species
GACGAAGGUGGCAACCGUUGCUCGGAAUCACUGGGCAUAAAGCGCACGUAGGUGGCUAAGUAAGUCGGUGGUGAAAUACCUUGGCUCAACCAAGGAAGUGCCAUCGAUACUGCCAUGCUUGAGGACGGGAGGGGUGAGUGGAACUCUUGGUGUAGCGGUGAAAUGCGUAGAGAUCCGGAGGAACACCAGUGGCGAAGGCGACACGCUGGGCCAUACCUGACGCUAAAGCGCGACAGCAUGGGGAGCAAACGGG